CUCCACCUCCCGUAGCUCCGGGUCCCCCGAUGGAGCAGCAAUGGGAGAUCCCGCCGCGAGUGGGUCUGUCUGACCUCAAUUCCAGCCUUUCCAUUCAACAGCCAUUCACUACCUGUGCCGGGCUCUGUGCUAGGAUCCAGCCCUCAACAGACUGAUUCAUUGCUAGGCGGCGCCAACAUCCCGUACACGAGGAACUCUAAGACAACGUGAUUCGUGCCGUAACAGGUGGGAGAGAGAGAGCAAUUAAUUCUGCCUGGAGGAAGGGCAUUCCGAGUAAAGGAAUGCUCACGGUCCGGGGGACUGCGUGCUGGAGCUGAAAGAGUGUGUUCCUCGUGGAAAUAACUGGAGGUGAGGCGGGGUGGGGAAGGCUGGGACGAAGAAUUUGGAUUUUAUGAUGUUGGCAAUGGGGAUCCUUAAGAGAAAUGCAAGCAGUUCAAUGAUGAAAUCAGAACACCUGCCACUAACAAAGUGUAUACCUUUGGCAAGUUAUUGUUUCUCUAGGGGACUCCGUUUCUGUAUCUAUAAAUCAGAGAUAUUACCCACUUCCCAGUUUGCUGUGGGGCCUUGUUGACAGAGGAGGAAUGACUGAUUCGUCACCUGUGGAGCAGAGCUGUAAGAGGAGGAUGUGUGUAUUGGAAAGCUUAAGCUUUCCUACCUGAUCCCCUAGAUGACAUAUCCAGCAGAUAUGGAGUGGAGCUCAAUAAAUAGGACUGACUGGCCUAAGAUUCAAUCCUCAAAUCAGGGAAAGAAUCUGAGCUAUGCAUCCAGAUUAAAGGGCUGUAGGACUUCCCUGGUGGUGCAGUGGUUAAGAAUCCGCCUGCCAGUGCAGGGGACACGUGUUCGAGCCCUGGUCCGGGAAGACCCCAUAUGCCACGGAGCAGCUAAGCCCGUGCGCCACAACUACUGAGCCUGCGCUCUAGAGCCCUCGCGCUACAACUACUUAAGACAAAACGAGGGAAGCAGCCACCGCAAUGAGAAGCCCGUGCACCACAACGAAGAGUAGCCCCCACCCACCGCAACUCGAGAAAGCCCGCCCGCAGCAACGAAGACCCAACGCAGCCAAAAUUAAAUAAAUAAAUAUUUUUUAAAAGGGCUGUAAAUAUUUUCGUAAUUCUAACAGAACUUUGCCCUGUUCUGCAAUCUUAGCGCUUGCUCCGUGCUGACUUCAUCCUCUCCCAUGAAGAUACGGUCUGUAAUCCUCGCUCUAGUCCUGCACACGUCCUUCUACCCCAGGUGCUCGCUAGGUGAAUUAAUUUCCAGUCUUUGGUAAAGGGAAGGCUUCUGCGUCCCCUGGUGGUCAGAAAUGGAAACGGCUUUCCAUGAAGGGACAGUAGCUGUGGAGCCACAGAACGAUUGCUGACACACAGCCAGGAGGACUGAGUUCUAGACACAGUUUCUGCCACAAAACAGCUAUCACUUGACAUCGCACAAUCUAUCCUCUCAUCUGUGAGGUGAGGAGGCUGAUCAAAACUAGUGAUUCUCGAACUUUUCCAGAUCAAGAACAUCAUACGUUCUUUAUUUUCAUUUGUGGAUAUCUUGUUUUGAAUGAUUCCAUAUCCCUUAGAAAAUACAUUUACUAGGUAAUCAGAAUUUGGUUUCCUCAAACUCAUAGAUACAGAGAACAGACGAUUGCCAGAGAUGGGGGGCGGGGAGCAAAAUGGGUGAAGGGAGUCGAAAGGUACAAACUUCAAAUUAUAAAAAAGUAAGUCCCGGGGAUGUAAUGUACAGUAUGGUGACUGUAUUUAAUAAUACUGUAUUGUAUAUGUGGAGUUGCUAACAGAAUAGAUCCUAAAAAUUCUUAUCAAGGGUCCUCUCUGCUAUUGUCAAACUUGUUCUUAUAAACUCGUAUUUUGUAUUUUAUUUUGGUAUAUCAAUCUUGAGUACUUUAUUGUCAGGUCUUCAUUGGUAACCCCCUUCCCUAUGACAGUACAGUGUGUACUCAAUUUUGGAGCAUGGAAAAUACAUGUACUUGUCUUGUACCUGUAGUUUGGAUAUAUAAUUGACAUCUUUGGGCUUUGGGCUUUCCAAAAUUUUAAGGCUGUAAUGAGGAGUCACAUUUACAAUCAUCAAUAUAGUGUCUACAGUUCUCUACAAUGAAUAUGCUCCCUUAAUUAAAUCAUGAUGCUGGAAAAAAAAAAAGGUCUUAUCAAAACAAAAACAAAGUUGUGGGCUUCCCUGUUGGCGCAGUGGUUGAGAGUCCGCCUGCCAAUGCAGGGGACGC